rnacentral:rRNA from 1 species
UACGUAGGGUGCAAGCGUUUAAUCGGAAUUACUGGGCGUAAAGCGUGCGCAGGCGGUUUUGUAAGUUUGUCGUGAAAGCCCCGGGCUCAACCUGGGAAUGGCGAUGAAGACUGCAAGGCUAGAGUGUGUCAGAGGGGGGGUAGAAUUCCACGUGUAGCAGUGAAAUGCGUAGAGAUGUGGAGGAACACCGAUGGCGAAGGCAGCCCCCUGGGAUAACACUGGACGCUACAUGCACGAAAGCGUGGGGAGCAAA